rnacentral:tRNA from 1 species
AUUUAUAUAAUAUAUUUAGUAUAUUUGACUUCCAAUCAAAACGUUUAAUUUUUAUUAAUAUAAAUA